rnacentral:piRNA from 1 species
CCCUGUUUACAAUAGCCUCACAUCAUUUGUGC